rnacentral:rRNA from 1 species
UGAACGCUGGCGGCGUGCUUAACACAUGCAAGUCGAUCGGUAACAGGUGUAGCAAUACAUGCUGACGAGAGGCGGACGGGUGAGGAACGCUUGGGAAUCUGCCCAUUAGCGGGGGACAACCCGGGGAAACCCGGGCUAAUACCGCAUACGCUCUAUGGAGGAAAGCCGGGGACCGCAAGGCCUGGCACUGAUGGAUGAGCCCAAGUCGGAUUAGCUAGUUGGCGGGGUAACGGCCCACCAAGGCGACGAUCCGUAGCUGGUCUGAGAGGACGAUCAGCCACACUGGAACUGAGACACGGUCCAGACUCCUACGGGAGGCAGCAGUGGGGAAUAUUGGACAAUGGGGGGAAACCCUGAUCCAGCGACGCCGCGUGGGUGAAGAAGGCCUGCGGGUUGUAAAGCCCUUUCGGUAGGGACGAAAGCUCUCGACCUAACACGUCGGGAGGUUGACUUAACCUACAAAGAAGCACCGGCUAACUCUGUGCCAGCCG